rnacentral:rRNA from 1 species
GACGAACGCUGGCGGCGUGCUUAACACAUGCAAGUCGUACGAUGACCCGGCUCUUCGGAGCUGGUGAUUAGUGGCGAACGGGUGAGUAACACGUGGGUGACCUGCCCUGCACUCUGGGAUAAGCCCGGGAAACUGGGUCUAAUACUGGAUACGACCAGUGGCCGCAUGGUCUGCUGGUGGAAAGCCCUUCGGGGUGGUGUGGGAUGGGCCCGCGGCCUAUCAGCUUGUUGGUGGGGUGAUGGCCUACCAAGGCGACGACGGGUAGCCGGCCUGAGAGGGUGUCCGGCCACACUGGGACUGAGACACGGCCCAGACGCCUACGGGAGGCAGCAGUGGGGAAUCUUGCACAAUGGGCGAAAGCCUGAUGCAGCGACGCCGCGUGAGGGAUGACGGCCUUCGGGUUGUAAACCUCUUUCGGCAGGGAACAAGCCUGGGGGGUUUCUUCUGGGUGAGGGUACCUGCGGAAGAAGCACCGGCUAACUACGUG